ACCUAGUAGUAUGGGAUAGCCACUAGAAAUGGUGGGUAAUACUGUAUAAUCCCUGCGGGGGAAAGAUUUAUCGCUAUUAGAUGAGCCUAUGUCAGAUUAGCUAGUUGGUGGGGUAAUGGCCUACCAAGGCGGUGAUCUGUAGCUGGUCUGAGAGGAUGAUCAGCCACACUGGAACUGAGACACGGUCCAGACUCCUACGGGAGGCAGCAGUGGGGAAUAUUGGACAAUGGGCGCAAGCCUGAUCCAGCUAUGCCGCGUGAGUGAGGAAGGCCUUAGGGUUGUAAAACUCUUUCAGUAGGGAAGAUAAUGACGGUACCUACAGAAGAAGUCCCGGCAAACUCCGUGCCAGCAGCCGCGGUAAUACGGAGGGGGCAAGCGUUGUUCGGAAUUAUUGGGCGUAAAGGGCAUGUAGGCGGUUUGGUAAGUUAAAGGUGAAAUACCAGGGCUUAACCCUGGGGCUGCUUUUAAUACUGCAGGACUAGAGUCCGGAAGAGGAUAG
rnacentral:rRNA from 1 species